rnacentral:rRNA from 1 species
GACGAACGCUGGCGGCGUGCUUAACACAUGCAAGUCGAACGGUGAAGCUCCAGCUUGCUGGAGUGGAUCAGUGGCGAACGGGUGAGUAACACGUGAGCAACCUGCCCCAGACUCUGGAAUAAGCGCUGGAAACGGCGUCUAAUACUGGAUACGAGAUCAAGCCGCAUGGUAAGGGUCUGGAAAGUUUUUCGGUCUGGGAUGGGCUCGCGGUCUAUCAGCUUGUUGGUGAGGGAAUGGCUCACCAAGGCGACGACGGGUAGCCGGCCUGGGAGAGCGACCGGGCACACUGGGCCUGAGACACGGCCCAGACUGCUACGGGAGGCAACAGUGGGGACUAUUGCACAAUGGGCGAAGGCCUGAUGCAGCGACGCCGCGUGGGGGAUGACGGCCUUCGGGUUGUAAACCUCUUUCAGCAGGGAAGAAGCGAAAGUGAUGGUACCUGCAGAAGAAGCACCGGCUACCUACGU